rnacentral:rRNA from 1 species
ACGUAGGUGGCAAGCGUUGUCCGGAUUUACUGGGUGUAAAGGGCGUGUAGCCGGAGAGACAAGUCAGAUGUGAAAUCCGCGGGCUCAACCCGCGAACUGCAUUUGAAACUGUUUCCCUUGAGUAUCGGAGAGGUAACCGGAAUUCCUAGUGUAGCGGUGAAAUGCGUAGAUAUUAGGAAGAACACCAGUGGCGAAGGCGGGUUACUGGACGACAACUGACGGUGAGGCGCGAAAGCGUGGGGAGCAAACAG